rnacentral:rRNA from 1 species
AUUGCACGCUGGCGGCAGGCUUAACACAUGCAAGUCGAGCGAGCGGCGGACGGGUGAGUAAUGUCUGGGGAACUGCCUGAUGGAGGGGGAUAACUACUGGAAACGGUGGCUAAUCCCGCAUCCCAUCAGAUGUGCCCAGAUGGGCUUAGCUAGUAGGUGGGGUAAUGGCUCACCUAGGCGACGAUCCCUAGCUGGUCUGAGAGGAGGACCAGCCACACUGGGACGGAGACACGGCCCAGACGCCUACGGGAGGCAGCAGUGGGGAAUAUUGCACAAGGGGCGCAAGCCGGAUGCAGCCAUGCGGCGUGUGUGAAGAAGGCGGUAGGGUUGUAAAGCACUUGCAGCGGGGAGGCGUUACUCGCAGAAGAAGCACCGGCUAACUCCGUGCCAGCAGCGGCGGUAAUUC